CGAACUGCGAUAAGUAAUGUGAAUUGCAGAAUUCAGUGAAUCAUCGAGUCUUUGAACGCACAUUGCGCCCCCUGGCAUUCCGGGGGGCAUGCCUGUCCGAGCGUCAUUGCUGCCCUCAAGCCCGGCUUGUGUGUUGGGUCGUCGUCCCCCCCGGGGGACGGGCCCGAAAGGCAGCGGCGGCACCGUGUCCGGUCCUCGAGCGUAUGGGGCUUUGUCACCCGCUCGAUUAGGGCCGGCCGGGCGCCAGCCGGCGUCUCCAACCUUAUUUUUCUCAGGUUGACCUCGGAUCAGGUAGGGAUACCCGCUGAACUUAAGC
rnacentral:misc_RNA from 1 species